UACAGAGGGGGCAAGCGUUAUUCGGAAUUAUUGGGCGUAAAGGGCGCGUAGGCGGCUUGGCAAGUGGAAGGUGAAAUCCCUCGGCUUAACCGAGGAACUGCCCUCCAAACUGCUUCGCUUGAGACCGGGAGAGGUGAGUGGAAUUCCCAGUGUAGCGGUGAAAUGCGUAGAUAUUGGGAGGAACACCAGUGGCGAAGGCGGCUCACUGGACCGGUACUGACGCUGAUGCGCGAAAGCGUGGGUAGCAAACGGG
rnacentral:rRNA from 1 species